AGGAGACAGGUUAGGUGUACCCUACUGAUGAUGUGUUGUUGCAAUAGUAAUCCUGCUCAGUACGAGAGGAACCGCAGGUUCAGACAUUUGGUGUAUGUGCUUGGCUGAGGAGCCAAUGGUGCGAAGCUACCAUCUGUGGGAUUAUGACUGAAUGCCAUGAAGUCAGA